rnacentral:rRNA from 1 species
GACGAACGCUGGCGGCGUGCUUAACACAUGCAAGUCGAACGGUAACAGGCCCUUCGGGUGCUGACGAGUGGCGGACGGGUGAGUAAUGCUUAGGAAUCUGCCUAGUAGUGGGGGAUAACCCGGGGAAACUCGGGCUAAUACCGCAUACGCCCUACAGGGGAAAGCGGGGGACUUUCGGGCCUCGCGCUAUUAGAUGAGCCUAAGUCCGAUUAGCUAGUUGGUAGGGUAAUGGCCUACCAAGGCGACGAUCGGAGCUGGUCUGAGAGGACGACCAGCCACACUGGGACUGAGACACGGCCCAGACUCCUACGGGAGGCAGCAGUGGGAAGUAUUGGACAAUGGGCGCAAGCCUGAUCCAGCGAUGCCGCGUGUGUGAAGAAGGCCUGCGGGUUGU